CCCUCCGCCGCUGCCAUGGCUCGGCCGUUAGUGCCCAGCUCGCAGAAGGCGCUGCUGCUGGAGCUCAAGGGGCUGCAGGAAGAGCCGGUCGACGGCUUCCGCGUGACACUGGUGGACGAGGGCUACCUAUACAACUGGGAGGUGGCCAUCUUCGGGCCCCCCAACACCUACUACGAGGGCGGCUACUUCAAGGCGCGCCUCAAGUUCCCCAUCGACUACCCAUACUCUCCACCGGCCUUUCGAUUCCUGACCAAGAUGUGGCACCCUAACAUCUACGAGACAGGGGACGUGUGUAUCUCCAUCCUCCACCCACCGGUGGACGACCCCCAGAGCGGGGAGCUGCCCUCAGAGAGGUGGAACCCCACGCAGAACGUCAGGACCAUCCUCCUGAGCGUGAUCUCCCUCCUGAACGAGCCCAACACCUUCUUGCCCGCCAACGUGGACGCCUCCGUGAUGUAGAGGAAGUGGAAAGAGAGCCAGGGGAUGGAUCGGGAGUACACAGACGUCAUCCGGAAGCAGGUCCUGGGGACCAAGGUGGACGCAGAGCCUGACGGCGUGAAGGUGCCCACCACGCUGGCCGAGUACUGCGUGAAGACCAAGGCGCCGGCGCCCGACGAGGGCUCGGACCUCUUCUACGACGACUACUACGAGGACGGCGAGGUGGAGGACGAGGCCGACAGCUGCUUUGGGGACGAUGAGGAUGACUCUGGCGUGGAGGAGUCCUGA